rnacentral:lncRNA from 1 species
GAAAGAGCAUGAUGCUACACAGAGCUAACAGGAGCUAAAGGCUGUGCUCUGGUGUGUGUGUGCGUGCACAGGCCUCACCAGUUUACACUCUGGCUCAGCCCUUCUGAGGUUAUCUGGGCCCCUGGGUGCCCGGCUGAAAAAAGAAAAAAAAAAAAGAAAAAAAAGCCACUGUCCUCCACAUUUGUGCGUGGAACCGUAAUUCAGCCCGCGGCUCACCUACCCAGAGCCACCUAAUGCAUGCUGGGUAUUCACAUGUGAAACCUUCACCGGGAGGCAGCUUUCACUUUGCCUGCGCACAAUAUGUCAUCCGGUGUGACACGGAGAGACCGAAGGGAAGCUGGAGCGCUGGCGUCCUCAACUGUGAAAUGUCACUCUUUUAUUUAUGGAAUUAUCAGGUCGCUUUUAAAACCCUUUGUAUUCUUGGGGGGGGGGGGGAUUUAUGUUUUCAUGGGGCUCUUUGUGUUUUUCCCCUCUCCUGAAGGGAUGCGUACACAGGGAUGUCUGGUCCGAAGGCCUGAGGACCUCAGAUGGACCAGCAAGGGGAUGGAGAGAGUCAGGAACGAGUGGAAGAACAGGAGAGACGGAAAGAGGAGAGUGGUGGACGUGUUGGCGGUCACGCUCUGCUGUCACCUUCUUUUGGACCGGAAUUCAUCCUCCCCUGCUGCCUCCAUGAGAAGCUGGAGGUGAAUCCAGGUGGCGUGUGACACGUCUGUGGAAACACAGUGAGGUGAGACACAGACAGUCGUUCUGCUGCUCCGUCCUUCCACAUGUUGAUGGACGAAUAACUUCACCAGGGAGGCCAAAAACACAGAACUAAGAACCGACACAGAUGGCUGGACAAGGCCCAACCACAGACAGGUCACAUGACUCACGGUACAACUUCCUGCUCGCUCUAUCACAGCAGUUGGUGUCACUACUCUCGUCGGCUGUGUGAAUUCGAACAGAUUGGCCAGUCGGCGAGGAUCAUUUGCUGAAAAACUCUGUUAAUCUGGCACCGGCUGCCUCCACCACGCUCGUGUUCACGCUCCGCUCCUGAAAACCGUGUUGGGGGGGCAGAGGAUUUCCAAAACAUGUCAGCGCCAGCGACGCUCCGACGCAACGGAAAAGGAAAACACUUAACCAUGUAAUUAAUGACCAUCUUAAAAAAUCUACAAUACGGCAACAAGCACAGAUUUACGUGUCUCCAUCUGUUUAUUCCUCCAGCGUCAUUCUCAUGCAUCCCUCCGUCGCCGGGGGAACCUGGGGGGUCACAACUCACUUCCUGCUGGAAAAGUGCCUGAAAAUGGUGAGAAAGUUCAUUCCUAUCUAUAGAAUCUAUAUAUCUCAUCUAUAUAUAGUUAU